GACGAACGCUGGCGGCGUGCUUAACACAUGCAAGUCGAACGAUGAAGCUGGAGCUUGCUCCGGUGGAUUAGUGGCGAACGGGUGAGUAACACGUGAGCAAUCUGUCCUUGACUCUGGGAUAACUGCGGGAAACUGUAGCUAAUACCGGAUACGAGGCUCGAAGGCAUCUUCGGGUCUGGAAAGAAUUUCGGUCAAGGAUGGACUCGCGGCCUAUCAGCUAGUUGGUGAGGUAACGGCUCACCAAGGCGACGACGGGUAGCCGGCCUGAGAGGGUGACCGGCCACACUGGGACUGAGACACGGCCCAGACUCCUACGGGAGGCAGCAGUGGGGAAUAUUGCACAAUGGGCGCAAGCCUGAUGCAGCAACGCCGCGUGAGGGAUGACGGCCUUCGGGUUGUAAACCUCUUUUAGUAGGGAAGAAGCGAAAGUGACGGUACCUGCAGAAAAAGCACCGGCUAACUACGUGCCAGCAGCCGCCGUAA
rnacentral:rRNA from 1 species